UACGUAGGCAGCGAGCGUUGUUCGGAAUUACUGGGCGUAAAGAGCUCGUAGGUGGUUUGUCGCGUUGUCCGUGAAAACUCACAGCUUAACUGUGGCAGCGUGGCGGCGAUCGGGGCAGACUGAGUACUGCAGGGGAGACUGGAAUUCCUGGUGGUAGCGGUGGAAUGCGCAGAUAGUCAGGAGGAACACCGGUGGCGAAGGCGGGUCUCUGGGCAGUAACUGACGCUGAGGAGCGAAAGCGUGGGGAGCGAACAGGA
rnacentral:rRNA from 1 species